rnacentral:rRNA from 1 species
ACAGCAGCAGCCGCGGUAAUACGUAGGUGGCAAGCGUUGUCCGGAAUUAUUGGGCGUAAAGGGCUCGCAGGCGGUUUCUUAAGUCUGAUGUGAAAGCCCCCGGCUCAACCGGGGAGGGUCAUUGGAAACUGGGAAACUUGAGUGCAGAAGAGGAGAGUGGAAUUCCACGUGUUGCGGUGAAAUGCGUAGAGAUGUGGAGGAACACCAGUGGCGAAGGCGACUCUCUGGUCUGUAACUGACGCUGAGGAGCGAAAGCGUGGGGAGCGAACAGGAUUAGAUACCCGCGUAGUCCCUGUCUCUUAUAA